rnacentral:piRNA from 1 species
UAACGUUGUAAGGGUCCUACACUAUGGGU